UAAAAAAAAACAAAACAAAAACUUGAACGCCCAAACCAAACGUGAAACAUCCAGCCAUAACUAAACUCAAUAUUAACAAAACACAAAACAGGCCCAAAAUAUGGAUAACAAACAAAAUGAAGAGAAAGCCAAACGCCCAAGACUUUAUUCUUUAUACCUGAUACGGUGAUUCUGUGAUACCCAAAACUCAAAACCUGCAGAUGCAGAAUCAAUCAAAACGCAUCUACAACGGCAGCAAAGCAGCACCGCAAAAAACGAAAAAAAGAAAAGAAAAAGGCAGUCGGCAGGGCAGUUCAGAGAAUCAGAGUUUUCAGAUCAGAAUCAUCAGAUGUGAUCGCAUGAUUUAGAUCGGAGGAAGCUUCAAGCAUGAGCAGUUGAGCCACUGAGCCAGGCAGCCAGCAACAGUGGAGAGAAUCAGUGAAAGAAUGAGAGAGGCGGAGAGCAGAGAGAAAGAAGCAGAGGGAAAGGGAAAAAUUUUAGGCAUUUGAGGUUUUUUAUUUGUUUUGAUUUGUGAUUGUUUUGUGGUUAAUCUCUUAGACCGGAUUUGUAGUAUAUCUUGUUAAUUUAAUAGUGUUAUUUUUGGGCAAUUGAUUUUGUUUAGAAUCAAUGUUUAACCGGAUUUACUAAUUUUUUUGUUUUUUUUGUUAGAAGGAUAUGCCUAAUUCAUCUGAAACUAUAUUUUUUUUUCCCCUACUAUCCCUUCUUUUUUUAAAUUUUGGGGCCCUUUCACUUGGUGGCCUUAGACAAUUGUGUAAUUGGCCUAGUCAACUGGUUUUGUCCGAGAUGAUCUCCUAUGAUCACGCUAGGAUUUUUUGUUUGUUUUUGCAUAACUUACACACGGUCAUAUUUCAAACAUGAAACGCGAUUUUAGUUAUAUUAGUAAAAUGAUAUUUUCAAAACACCAUUUCAAUUACGAUUGUGAAAUUUCACAACAUCAGUUGAAUUUGUGUCCCCUGGUGUAACUAUCACCUCUCCAUCGGUUUAUCUUGCUUUCUCCAGUCAAGCUUUUAUAGCCAAGCAAAAAAAAAUAGCGUGUUAUGGACUUGUUGCUAUUCUUGACAACAACAACAUAAUAUUGACUUUUUUUGUCUUUGUUUUUCUUACAAGUUACAGAAAUAAUUUCGUGGAAACUUAUAUCUGAUACUUUUCUUCAUGUGCCCGGUGAUGACAAAAAUUUUUUUACUUCUAGGAAACUUCAUAAAGCUGGCUUAUUCAAACUGGUUUAUGAAUAAAUAGUUCGUGCUUAAUGUUACAACCUACAACGUACAAAGUAUAAAAAAAAAAGAGAUGUUAUGGACAUGAAGAACAACCACAGAAGCUGCUGUAACGACCUUGCCAUCACCAAUGAGAAACAAGAAAGGCGGGUUCGGUACCACGAGACUAGAGCUCAAAACUUGACAAUUGCAUACCUCAUACUGCUUGGAAUAUACACAAUGGCAAUCUCACACAGAUCAUCAACGUCUCUUCAGUGCAAAAACUGGUGGGUUCCUUUUGCCAUUUCCCUCUCGUCCUCUAUAAUAUACUUCAUGACCUUCUUAAAUACUGUGAGCAAGUUUUACUGGACACAGUAUCAUCUAGACCUGAACUAUCUGGAUCUGCAAGUGAUACAUACGAGGAUACGUGAAGCUGAAUUCGAGACAAAAUGUCACAGUACGAGUGAACAGAAGCUUGAUCCUGUGGUGCUGUUCAAACGAAAACUCUAUAUUGGUAUUACCGUUUCAGCUUUGAUUGCUAUUACGGUUAUCCAAUUAUAUGCCUGCAGGUUGCUUUUGUGUUGAAAUGAUAUGCUUGUCCUUGGCCAGAAAAAUAAUUUUUGACAUGUAUGGGGGCAUUGUAUUACUAUCUCUCACUCGCUAACAAGAAGAGCAAUCUUAUCAUCUCAGUCAUUAGUCUGGGGAAGAUAUUCCACUUGACGUUGAACUUGUACCUUUGCACCUUUUUUACUUUUUGUUUUUUGAAGACAGAGGUUAUGUACUUAAUAAAGAGAGCUAAAUAAUGCCAGGAUCUAGCUGAUCAGGCAACACUUCCUUAUUUUAUUA